UAGGGAAUCUUCGGCAAUGGGGGGAACCCUGACCGAGCAACGCCGCGUGAGUGAAGAAGGUUUUCGGAUCGUAAAGCUCUGUUGUUAAGGAAGAACGAGUGUGAGAAUGGAAAGUUCAUACUGUGACGGUACUUAACCAGAAAGGGACGGCUAACUACGUGCCAGCAGCCGCGGUAAUACGUAGGUCCCGAGCGUUGUCCGGAUUUAUUGGGCGUAAAGCGAGCGCAGGCGGUUAGAUAAGUCUGAAGUUAAAGGCAGUGGCUCAACCAUUGUAGGCUUUGGAAACUGUUUAACUUGAGUGCAGAAGGGGAGAGUGGAAUUCCAUGUGUAGCGGUGAAAUGCGUAGAUAUAUGGAGGAACACCUGUGGCGAAAGCGGCUCUCUGGUCUGUAACUGACGCUGAGGCUCGAAAGCGUGGGGAGCGAACAGG
rnacentral:rRNA from 1 species